rnacentral:ribozyme from 1 species
AGGUGUGGUGCUCUACGAGGUGAUGGCGCUGAAGCGACCCUUUGGCGGUAAGAACAUGGACGAACUGAUUGAUAAUAUCCUCCAUGCCCGCCGAC